rnacentral:tRNA from 1 species
AUAGAAGAAAUAAAUAUAAUUAUAUUCAGUUUCGGCCUGAAAUUAGGGAUUUAAGCCCCUUCCUUG